rnacentral:rRNA from 1 species
GUGACAAGAAAUAACAAUACAGGACUUUUUGGUUUUGUAAUUGGAAUGAGUUAAGUAUAAACCCCUUUACAAGUAUCAAUUGGAGGGCAAGUCUGGUGCCAGCAGCCGCGGUAAUUCCAGCUCCAAUAGCGUAUAUUAAAGUUGUUGCAGUUAAAAAGCUCGUAGUUGGAUUUCUGUUAAUAAUUUAUAUAAAAUAUUUUGAAUAUUUAUAUAACAUUAACAUAAUUCAUAUUACUAUAUUUUUUAGUAUAUGAAAUUUUACUUUAAGAAAAUUAGAGUGCUUAAAGCAGGCAUAUGCCUUGAAUACUCCAGCAUGGAAUAAUAUUAAAGAUUUUUAUCUUUCUUAUUGGUUCUAAGAUAAGAAUAAUGAUUAAUAGGGACAGUUGGGGGCAUUUGUAUUUAACAGUCAGAGGUGAAAUUCUUAGAUUUGUUAAAGACAAACUAAUGCGAAAGCAUUU